CCAGUGAUCCCUUCACCACGGCGAGCGAACGAAUCGUGAGUUCGUUUGGGGAGGCCAGAUGCCGUCGAUAUCGUCGCGAUCCCCUCUCCCCUGACCCUGUGACUAUAUAACCUGGCCCUCGGCUCCACCUUGCCCAGAAACCGGAAACCGGAGAAGCCAAACACCAUCAACGCCAUGUUCGUGCGUGGGGCUUGUGCUGGGGGGAGGGGGACUACCUGGCCGGUUCUCGGCGCCACCGCGGGGCGCGUGUCACCGUGGUCGGUCUCUUCAUGACACCCGUCGGUGAGUUACCAUGCGAUCGAGUUUAUUCAUUACAUUAUGCGUGUAGCACCCCGCAGAACGUUGCUUAGCGCGUCACGGUGCCGGUAAUGGCUGGUCAGAAUCGUUACUCCGCCGUGGAGCUUCACCAUGUCGAGAACCGAUGCCUCCGCGCUACCACGGUGGGUAACAAACCCUAGGUCUAGUUGUGGUCAUCUCAUAUUAGCGUAUUGCCGAUCGCGGGGGAUCCUGGAGCCUGGAUGACCGGACCGAGGUCUCCGGCGAGGACCACCGUCGGGGUGCAGUUGGGCGCCGCCACCCUGGUGGUUGGCUGGAGAAGAGAGAGGUUGAACCGCAGAUCUUUGCGUAGACGGUUAAGAUUAGAAGUGGCGUACCAUUUCGGUCCUGGGCCAUCUCAACCGUCGAUCGGCGGAUGAGCGGUGUAGAGCAAAGCGCGUGACUUAAAAAUUAGAAUCGUUGAUCGGGGGAUCGAGGGUCUGGGAUGAGAUGCUGUCUUGGGUGGUUUCAGGCCAUGGAUCCUUGAUCCCGUGGCUAUGGAUGGAUACCGGUUCAUAAAUGGGUAUAAUCCAAUCCGAACCGUAGACUCCAAAUCCGGCGGCCCAGAACUCUUCUUAACCCUUUGUCGUGCAUAUUUUGCAUAAGUGUCCUUGACUUAAAUGGAAAACAACCCGCCAUCCAUAAUGGUUCAAAGAGUAUUACAGCCCAGUCUAGAAACUUACAUUUUAGCCUCCUUAGUUAAUAAAAAUAGUUGUUAUCAUCCAUGGGUCAUCAGGAAAUAGAAAAUUAAUAUUAAAGAUGUUUUCUAGCAUAGAAAUAAAUCUAGAAUCCUAUUUAAUUCAUAAGUAAUGCAUGUUAACUCCGAAUUGAUCCAUUCUAGUUGCAUUAAUCUCAUAGUAAUAUUGUUCUUCAAUAGUAACCUUAUUUUAUCAUGAAACCUAUGGUUAAAAUUAUGCAGUCAAUUUAUUUUAUAUCUACCACGUAAAACUUCAUAAAAUCAUAACUCUUUAAUGGUAACUCCGAAUUUAGUGGUUCUCUGUAACGCCCUGAAUUUGGGGGUAGGAUUUUUCUUCUUCGAUACUCACCAAAUUCAGGCGUUACUCUCUUUUCUUUUCCCGUUUCGCUCCUUCUUCCCAUUUUCAAAGCAGUAUAACGACUGGUGUCAGUCUCGCGUGUAAACAAAAACCUAAGUUGACAUGGGUGUUGCAUCAUGCCGAAGUAUUUUUCUUUUGUCUGAUGAUUGUGUUUAAUCGCGCGUCCGUCUCGCCUCGUUUUGGAUUUUGAUUCGCAAUUGGUUUUUGAUCAGUGGACGCGUGUGUUGUGGGCUUCAGUCCCGGCCUGCGACCCAGCCUAGCCCGACCCGACCCAGCCCGGCCCGGCCCAGCACGCCCCGCGUGCCCCUGGCGACCCAAACCCCCCAUGCGCCCCCUCUCCCUUCCUCUCAUUUGAUUUUCCCGCGCAACAACUCCCUCUCCCUCUCUUCCACCUCUCUCCCACCUCUUUGCCCUAGGUGAUCCGGAGACGGUUAUCGCCGGAUUUUGGAUCCCAAGGUGAGAUCUCCCUCUCCCUCUCUCUCCCUCUCACUCCCCUUUCCCCUCUUCCCUAUGCGCGUCCCUGCCCUUUUCUCCCUUGCACGCGGCCUGGCGGCGGCUCGCCCCAGCGCCCCAUGGCACGGCCCGGCGGCGCGGCCCUGGUGGCUCCCUGGCGUGGCCUCGGCGGUUCGCCUCGGCGCGGCCUUGCGGUAGGGCCCCGCGGCACGGCCCCUUGCGUGGCCCCCCAGGCAGCUCGCCCCCUGGCGCCCCCUCGGCGCGUGAUAGAAGACGUGGCUCGAUCUUCCAUGAGAUACGAUAACUUGAUUGAGUGGAGAUCUCGAUGUUGAUGAUCCAAGGCUCCGAGCGAACGGUUCCUCACAAUCACAGCUCCGUUGGUUAUCACCUGUGACACACGAGUGACCUCGCCAUGAAGGCUUAUCCCUGCAAGCGCAAUCAAGAACACAAGCAAGAACAGGAAAGAAAUGCAACCAAAAUUUUAUUGAUUACGGGAUGGGGUCUCACAAUCCGAUGACGGCGACACUGUUCGAUGACAGAAUUGAUCUAAGCAAAACCCAAACCUAAUGUGGCAGCGGCUGCUGAAUAAAUAGAGUAUUAGGGCGUGCGUGACCCCUAGACUCGCCCCUAAUGGGCUCCGACGCGAUACACGGCCCAACGGCCCAACAGACGGUGUCGCAGCACCAAAACAUAAUCUGAAUGCUGAAUUGUUUCGAUGAUUCCCGUUGACUUCGGAUGAAUUUUAAGGUGGAACCAGUUGGGUUGGUUAGAUAAUCUCUUUAUCUUUCCAACCAUAUCAAGUCCGUCACACUCGAAGUCUGGAUGCAUCUUGGGCGUCCAUUUUAGUGCAGACUGGUCCUGGAACCUGAGAUGGAGUCACAGCCGAGUCGGACUUGAUCUCCUUCCUGUUGUGGGCGCCCUUGCUACUCCUCCUCAACACCUAGGCCUUUCCCAAAUCCUUGCUGGUCCUCUCCAAGGUUCCUAAUAAUCAAAACAUCCAUGGCCCCAAGUGUAAGCUCUAAAACACAAUUGACUAGGGUAGAACGUACUUGGAGAUUUAGCUAUCGUGCACGCAAUCGUGUUAUCGGUCCAUUCAUUGUAUGUAUAGAAGUGAUGUCCUCAUCCUCCUCCUCCUCCUCUUGAAUUGGAGUCAUCCUCGACUCGAUCUCAUCUUCGUCACCCAUAUAUGGCUUCAAAUCUAAAAUUUUAAAGGUGGGACUAACCCCAAAAUCUGGCGGCAACUCAAGUGUAUAUGCAUUAUCAUUAAUUUUCGCAAGAACUUUAUAAGGACCUGCAGCUCGUGGCAUAAGUUUAGACUUUCUCAAAUCAGGAAACCUAUCAUUUCUCAAAUAAACUCACACCAAGUCACCAGGUUCCAAUUUCAUUUCCUUCCUGCCUUUAUUAGCAGCAAUACGAUACUUUUCAUUCAUCUUUUCAAUUUGCAACUUAGUUGUUUCAUGUAACUUAAGAAUGAAUUCAGAACGUUGUGUAGCAUCCAAGUUCACUAUUUUAGAAGUUGGUAAAGGUAGCAAAUCAAUUGGAGCACGAGGAUUAAAACCAUAUACUACCAUAAAUGGACUAAGCUUGGUUGUGGAAUGAAUUAAUCUGUUAUAAGCAAACUCAAUAUGUGGCAAACAUUCCUCCCACAACCUCAAAUUAUUCUUCAAAAUAGCCCGCAACAUGGUAGAUAAAGUGCGAUUAACAACCUCUGUUUGCCCGUCAGUUUGGGGAUGACAAGUAGUAGAAAACAACAACUUUGUUCCCAAUUUAAACCACAAGGUUCUCCAAAAAUGACUUAAAAACUUAGCAUCCCUAUCAGAAACAAUAGUAUUUGGCACACCAUGCAAACGCACAAUCUCAAUGAAGAGCAAAUCAGCAACAUGUGGAGCAUUAUCAGUUUUAUGACAGGGUAUAAAAUGUGCCAUCUUUGAAAAACGAUAGACAACGACAAAAACACUAUCACUCCCCCUCUUUGUUCUAGGAAAUCCCAAAACAAAAUCCAUAGAAAUAUCCUCCCAAGGUGCACGAGGAACAGGAAGAGGCAAAUAAAGACCAUGGGGGUUAAGUCGGGACUUAGCUUUGUUGCACGUGGUGCAACGAGAGACGUAGCGCUCAACAUCACACUGCAUUCGACGCCAAUAGAAAUGAGUAAACAACCCAUCCUCAGUCUUCUUAACACCAAAAUGUCCCAUCAAGCCACCUCCAUGUGCUUCCUGCAAGUGUAGAAGACGAACGGAGCUAGCUGGAACACAUAACUUGUUAGCACGGUAGAGAAGGCCUUCACGCAGCAUAAAUUUUUGCCACGUUCUUCCCUCUCUGCAAUUUUCAAAAGCAUCUUUGAAGUCCAAAUCAGCAGCAUAUAAUUCCUUUAUAGUCUCCAAACCAAAGAUUUUAUGAUUAAGUUGGGACAACAUAGUAUAACGUCUAGAUAAAGCAUCAACAAUCACAUUAUCCUUUCCUUUUUUAUGCUUAAUAAUGUAAGGAAAUGAUUCUAUGAAUUCAAUCCAUUUAGCAUGUCGUUUGUUUAGAUUAGAUUGUCACUUAAGAUUCUUCAAAGAUUCAUGAUCCGAAUGUAUGAUUAAUUCUUUAGGCCAUAGAUAAUGUUGCCAAGUUUGUAAAACUCGUACUAAAGCAUAUAAUUCUUUGUCAUAUGUAGAAUAAUUCAGAGUUGGACCAUGCAAUUUUUCACUAAAGAAAGCAAUAGGUUUACCUCCUUGAAUGAGCACUCCUCCAAUCCCAAUGCCGCUCGCAUCACACUCGAGCUCGAAUGUCUUGUCAAAAUCAGAAAGUUGCAGCAGUGGUGCUUGUGUGAGCUUUGACUUGAGGGCAUCAAAUGCUUGUUGUUGUGAUGAUCCCCAACGAAACGACACUCCUUUCUUUGUCAACUCGUGGAGAGGUGCUGCAAUGGUGCUGAAAUCCCACACAAAUCGCUUGUAGAAUCCUGCAAGACUAAGAAAACUUCGAACCUGCGUGACCGUGGUUGGAAGUGGCCAGCUCGUGAUGGCAACAAUUUUUGCCUCAUCCAUCUCAAUGCCCUACGAUGUCACAACAUAUCCAAGAAAAGACACAUGAUCGGUGUUGAAGGUGCACUUCUCAAGGUUACCAAAUAAACGUGCAUCACGCAAAACAUCAAAAACAGCACGUAAAUGUUCAAUAUGAUCAUCAUGAGACUUACUAUAGAUAAGAGUAUCAUCAAAAUAUACCUACCAAUGAAAGCACGUAAAACCUCGUUCAUCAAUCUCAUGAAAGUGCUAGGCACAUUGGUUAACCCAAAAGGCAUGACUAACCACUCAUAAAGACCAAACUUAGUUUUAAAUGCAGUUUUCCAUUCAUCACCUAAAGACAUACGAAUCUGGUGGUAUCCACUACGCAAGUCAAUUUUAGAGAAAACAAUAGAACCACUUAAUUCAUCAAGCAUGUCAUCCAAUCUAGGAAUAGUAUAUUUGUACCGAAUUGUGAUGUUAUUAAUGGCUCUACAAUCAACACACAUGCGCCAAGUGCCAUCUUUCUUAGGAACCAAAAGAACAGGAAUAGAACAAGGACUAAGGUUCUCACGAAUGUACCCGUGGUCCAAAAGGUCUUGGACCUGGCGAUGAAUCAUCUUAGUCUCCUCAGGGUUGGUCCUGUAGGCAGCACGGUUGGGCAAGCUCGCCCCUGGAAUUAAAUCAAUCUUGUGCUCAAUGCCUCGCACAGGUGGUAAUCUAGGGGGUAUCUCAGAGGGAAACACAUCCAUAUACUCUUGCAAAAGGUUAGCAAUAGCCGGUGGCAAAGCAAUGACGUAUCAUCAAUGGAAUAGAAAGCAUUUUUGCACACUAAGGCAUAGCAAAGUCCAAUAGAGGCAUGCAACUCAUCAAGAUCAGAUUUAGUGGCUAGCAAAGUAGGAGUUUUUAACUUAUUAGGUUGCUGAUUUUCCGAGUUCAAAACACCUUUUUGCUUAGCAUUAGUCUUUUUCUCAUGUUCAAAGUGGACAAUUUCAGUGGGAGUCAUAGGAAGCAACACAAUUUUCUUUCCCUUAUGCAUGAAAGUAUAUUUAUUAGAUCUACCAUGGUGAAUAGCAUCAGUAUCAAACUUCCAAGGAUGUCCUAGUAAAAGAGAGCAAGCAUCCAUACUCACCACAUCGAAAUCAGCAAAGUCAUGGUAAGAGCCAAUAGAAAAAUGCACCCUUGCUGUUUUUGUUACCUUAAACUUACCGCUGUUGUUAAACCAUUGAAUGUGAUAAGGGUGGGGAUGCUCUCGUGUGGUCAAGCCAAGCUUCUUGACCACCUCAACGUUCACCAAGUUGUUGCAGCUACCACUGUCAAUGAUGGUAUGUACACGGUAGUCCUUGACGAUGAGGAACAUGUUGAAAAGGUUGUGGCGCUGUCUGUUGUCAUUGUCACUAGCCAUGGCACUCAAAGCUCGUUGCACAAUCAAGGCCUUAUAUGUCUCGGUCGCUGUUGUACCAAGAACCUCUUCAUCACCAUCAUAAGUCUCUACAAUGUUAGCUCCAACAGUAUCUUCAUCUUUAACAUCAGAAGCACUAACAUACCCACCAUCACCAAUAGCAAUGUAUGCCCAUUUGCUGGGGCACUCUCGCUAAAUAUGGCCAAGUCCCUAGCAGCGGUGGCACUUGAUGUCGGAGGAGCGGCCUGUGGAAGAGGUGGUCGUAGCAGGUUUUGCUGCAACACCCGAAGGCACCAAGGACUUGUUGUUGUCGUGUCCCUGUGAUGCCGAAGGUGCGGUGUUGCAUGUGCCGCUGGUGGAGGAAGAUGUGGACGUCCGCACGCCCGAAGAGGAUGACGCCUUAGCUGGCGCCGGUGGCUGGCAUGGCACGAAAAUGCUGCUCCUCCGCUGUUGACGACCCUGCAAUUCUUUUUCUGCCAACAUAGAAAGAUGGAACAAGCGUUGUAUAGAAUGAUAUUCUUUAUAAUCAACAAUAUCCUUAAUCUCCCGCCUCAAUCCCCUAUAAAACCUAACCAUUUGAUCCUUCGGAUCCUCAACUACCCCACAUCGUAGCAUACCUUUCUAAAGCUCUUGGUAGUACUCCUGUACCGACAUGUCUCCCAGCUUAAGCCCCUUCUCCUUGUCCAUUUGGUUCUUUGGUCCUGUCAUUGUUAGCACAAAACAGAGACAAAAGGCAACAAACAAUGUGAACCCUACAACUAUCUCUUAGGGUGGUGGUGGUGGAAUACAAAUUAUGAAGCGUCUUACCCCGCUCUUACAAGGUUCUUACCAGCACUGCAGGUGGCAAACGGUGACCGGUGUGACUGUCCAACGAGCGUGGGUGUGAUUGCAAAGGAGUACCUGUUCUGCUCGAGAGAAAGCUGGAGCUCUGGGAAGGCUGACUAAAUAUAUAUAUGUGGCACACAAGUCAGUAACAGAUAGCAAUGCUGAAUAAGUGUUCCAAGUACUUGUCCUAGUUGCUGGCCUAGAAAAUGUAAUAGAACAGUUGGACCAAGGCACAAGAAAGGAGGUACAAGUAUAUGGGUGCAGCAAGAAAAUAGGCUUGGGGCAAAAUAAUCACAGAGGUGCACAGAACACUGGCGUUUCUGGUUAUGUGCUACCAUUUUUUGCGAUUUUUUUUUCAAAUAUUUUUUCUAUAUUUUUCUCUUUUGCAGCAGCACAUAAGAAGAUAACACACCAAGUUUCAGAUUUUUUUGUGCAAUGACGCGUCCUCUGGAAUUUCUGCAAGUUUGCCCUAAAAUCAGAAUAAAUGUUUGGAAAAUGAGAAGUCCUAUUUCCAAGCCAAAUUUGGGAAUUUCAAAAACAGCGAAUCCGGCGAAGCGGGAAAGAAUCGAAUCCAAAUUUAAUUCUGUGCGAUUUGAAAAAAAUGGGCCCGAUUCGAGUUCCGAGGCGAAAUGGCCGUUUUAAGUUUGGACUCUGAAUCAGGGUUUCUAGCGAGGUGUUGGAAGAGUGGGGGUUCGGUUUUGUGGAUAGAGUCGGUUUUAGAGAUAGGAUUUAUUUUGUGGAUAGGGUCGGUUGUAGAGAUAGGAUCUAUUUUGUGGAUAGGGUCGGUUUUAGAGAUAGGAUUUGUUUUGUGGAUAUGGUCGGUUUAGAUACAGGAUCUGUUUUGUGGAUAGGGUCGGUUUUAGAGAUAGGAUUUGUUUUGUGGAUAGGGUCGGUUUUGUAGGAUGGAAGCGGAUGGACAGAAUCAAAUAGAACCAAAACAAAUCUAAACCAGCAACCAAACUCAACCUACAACACAAACUCAGAACUGCGGACUCUAAAACUAAAUUGGGUAAAGGCUAAGGCGAUCGUUUUAGGUCAGAAUAAACUGAUCGUAAUUAUUUAUUUUUUGGCUUUUUGUGGACUAUGGGACGAAACAAAACUAAUCUAAAGGUAGGAUUAUACCUCACGGGCAACCUGGAAAUCUGAUACCAAUUGAUAGAAGACGCGGCCUGAUCUUCCGUGAGAUACGAUAACUUGAUUGAGUGGAGAUCUCGACGUUGAUGAUCCAAGGCUCCGAGCGAACGGUUCCUCGCAAUCACUACACCACGGCUCCGUUGGUUAUCACCCGUGAUACACGAGUGACCUCGCCAUAAAGGCUUAUCCCUAUAAGCGCAAUCGAGAACACAAGCAAGAAAAGGAAAGAAACGCAACCAAAAUUGUAUUGAUUACGGGAUGGGGUCUCACAAACCGAUGACGGCGACACUGUUCGAUGACAAAAUUGAUCUAAGCAAAACCCAAACCUAAUGUAGCGGCGGCUGCUGAAUAAAUAGAGUAUUAGGGCGUGCGUUACCCCUAGACUCGCCCCUAAUGGGCUCCGACGCGAUACACGGCCCAACGGCCCAACAAAUGGUGUCGCAGCACCAAAACAUAAUCUGAACGCUGAAUUGUUUCGACAAUUCCUAUUGACUCCGGAUGAAUUUUAAGGUGGAACCAGUUGGGUUGGUUAGAUAAUCUCUUUAUCUUUCCAACCAUAUCAAGUCUGUCACAAUCGGAGUCCGGAUGCAUCUUCGGCGUCCAUUUUAGUGCAGACUGGUCCUGGAAACGAGAUGGAGUCGCAGCCGAGUCGGACUUGAUCUCCUUCCUGUUGUGGGCGCCCUUGCUGCUCCUCCUCAACACCUAGGCCUUUCCCAAGUCCUUGUUGGUCCUCUCCAAGGUUCCUAAUCAUCAAAACAUCCAUGGCCCCAAGCGUAAGCUCUGAAACACAAUUGACUAGAGUAGAACGUACCUGGUGAUUUAGCUGUCGUGCAUGCGAUCGUGUUGUCGGUCCAUUCAUUGUAUGUAUAGAAGUGAUGUCCUCAUCAGUGCGGCCCUCGGCCCUGGCGCGCGGCCCCAGCGCGCAACGUGUUCCCGCGCGCGCAGCCCCAACGCACGCGGUGAUCGAAUUUCGUUUUGAUUAAUUUUAAAUUUAGUUAAUUAACGUGCUGCGUCGUGCGACGAUUUUGUUAAAAUCUGGAUAUAUUAAUGUGCUGUUGCGUGUUGCUUUGCGCGCUUCGUUGCACGACAAUUUAUUUUAAUUUCAGAUUUGUUAGUAUGCUGCGUCGCGCGCUUCGUCGCACGACGGUUCAUCUUAAAUUCAGAUUAUUUAAUGUGUGGCGUCGCACGUCUAGUCGCAUGAUGUUUAGUUUUAAAUUCAGUUUAAGUGACGUAUGCUGUCGUCCGCUUCGUCGCGCAACGCUUGACGUAAUUUUCAUAAUUAAUUCAAGUGUCUCGUUGCACGCUUCGUCGCAUGGCGAUUCAUUUUAUUUCAGUUCAAUCUAAGUGUUGUGUCACGCGCUUCGCCGCGCGACCACUCAUUUUAUUUUCGGUUUAGUUCGUGUAUGCCGUUGUGCAUUUCGCCGCGCGAUAAUCCUUUUAAAUCUAUCUUGAAUGGUUUAUAAUAAUUAAACGUAUAACAUAACCUUGUUCUAUGUAUAGCGUGACUGUGAAAUUAAUAUGAUUAGGUUUAGACGAGUACUUUAAUCUAUAAUUGCUUAACAUGAUCGCUCUUCGACCGUAGCCUCGACCGUUGCUUUCUCUUUCUCGCUUAGUCGUAGGUGCGAGCCCUGCGCUGAGCGUCUAUUUACUUAUUGUAUUUUACUAUCUAGUGUAUUGUUCCUUUUAUAUUGAAUUUGUGGAAUGUAUGUUUGAACUCAUAUAGAUAAUGGUCAGUUGGCGGAGUCCGAAGGAGUUACAGGUGAAGACCCUGAGCAGCAGCUGGUUGGUGAAGACAAGUGUCCCUUGACCCAUCUAUGCCCUAUUCAUGUUAUAAUUCACUCCUCGUAUUUACAUAAUUCAUACCUAAGGAUUGACUAGCUUUUGUUCAUCUUGUCCUUGUUUACAUAUUUGGGUUGGGUUAUUUUGGUUUAGCUUUAUGCUAAUGCUUCACAUUAAUCAAUGAACAUGAUGAGAUUAUUUAUGAUACACUGUUUUCCCUUUUGAUUAUGAUGAUAUACUUGUGGCAUUUAAGGGGACUCGAGCUGUUUCUUGAGUGCCUCUCCGUAAGGACUAGUUCGUUGGAUGAUCGCCUGGGAAAACAGUGCAACCAUGAUAGUGGUAUGGGACACCCUUAGCUGAAUAAUUAGAUGAACUGGGGUGUAGUUCGCUUCGCCAUUGUGCCGUCAAUGGGGCUCGGUGUAUGCGGCUCGCUCUGCCGAGGGUGGAUUGCCCCUUGGGGAGGAGUGCAGUACAUUUAGGAAACCUAACGGGCGGCUACAGCCUCAGGGAAUCUUUGUAAAGGCUAUGUAGUGAAACCCUGUCUAUUCACCUUGGUAGUGUUUAAGGGUUUGAUCAGCCCGAGGCAAGAGGGAAUCAUGGCUUGUGGGUAAAGUGCGCAACCUCUGCAGAGUGUUAUGAAAUUGAUAUAUCAGCCCUGCUCGCGGUUAUGAGCGGCCAUGGGUGCUCCAUUGAUUAGAGAUACAUUGAUCAGAGAUGUUUGGUUUAUAGGUGAUGAUGAGGAUGAUGGUUUUGAUUAUGACUAUGGUAAUGGUUUAUGGUAUUCUUUCCGUUUGGAAAGGAUACUUUUGGAUUAACUGUCACACCCGGCUUUAAGGAACAAAGCCAGGUGCAUCUCAUACAUGUGCCAAGAAGACAACUUAUAUAAUAACGGAGUGUAUAGAGAUAAAUGUCACAUUAACAUCAGAGUAUUUAUUACAUAGCGGAAGUCUUAUUACAAAAUAAAAGAUAAAUAUAAAACGAACUAAGGAUCGUCGGUGCCAAUGUCAACUGAGAAGCGCCACCUAGAUCAGAUCAAACUCCUCGCCUUGUGGCUCCUCCUGAACCACCUGUUCUUAUCCUGUGGGGGGUGUGAGACAGCAAGGGUGAGCUCACACAUGAUCAUAGCUCAACAAGUUGUGGGGAACCCGUGGACAUGAACUCACAAAGGUGGGAGUUCAUGUGAUGUGUAAGGCUAAUCAAUGACAGGGGGUUAAAGCUGAGCAUUGCUUUUAAGUAGUUGGUCAAAAUUUUAUUAGCAGUUACUAAGUGUAAGUAAAUACCAAACCUUAAAUAAAGUAGUAGAACAAAAUUAAUAAUAAACCCAUGCAAUGCAAAUGACAAAAUUGAAUUUAAGUUCUAUAAUUUAAUCAUUAGAGAGUCCUAAGCUGCUCAUGACUGUGAGCUCGGCUAGUAUACCAGUUUUACACUCUACAGAGGUUGUACCCUUUACCCACAAGUCAUGUUACCCAUCUGCCAAAGGAUCGUGACUCCCAUACACCUCUACCUAGGAGGCGAGGCAGGGCAACACUACGAGGCCUUUACAAAGUUCCACUAGCUUCUGAAAACCCGCUACAGUUUAUGGGAAGAGCACUUGCAAGAAUCCCCCGUCUGACCGCCAUCGUAGCUAAAUCAACCCGAGAACCUCCUUGCAUGCAACUCCCCUACUGCCCUUCCCCCUUUUGGGUAAGGUAGUCUUCCACUAGCUUUCCUAAUUAGUCAGCCAAGGGCGUCCCAUUAAACCCUUGUGGUAGCACAUGUUACUCAAGUUAAGCUCUAUGUUUCAAUUAACAUUAAUGAUCUUAACAUGAACAUAAAUAGAAUAACAAAAGAAUUGGAACAUAGAUAUAAUAAAUGAUUAUCCCAAAACCAUGUAAAGCAAUAGCAAACUACCCAAAUGAUUCAAAGGUAAACAAGGUAAUGAGAUAAACAAUCUAGGGUGACCUAUCGGGUCCCAUCAAAAUUAACCUAUGCAUGGAUAGAUGAUAUUAAAGAACAUUAUUGGGUAAAAAGUGGUCAAGGGCACAACUUGCCUUCAAUGAGCUCCUGCUCAGCUACUUCUAUCUGCUGCUCACUAGGAUCCUCAGUCACGUGCUCUUCUACUCGCCACAAUACAAACAAGCACAAUAUAUAGAGAAAAUUAACAUCACACCAAAUAUGUAGACAAAAUACACAGUAAUAAUCUACGCAUUAAAAUAAAAUCCUAGGAACAGGAAUCAUAAUUUUUGGAGUUAUAGAUUUUAAGUUAUGAAUUUUCAAAGGUUUUAUAUGUUUAAAAUGGAUUAAGUGAGAGAUUAAAUUUCUUAUUGUUUUUAUGAUAAAACAAAGGCUCUAAGUGAUGAAGAAUAAAAUUACAAAAUUUUAGAAACUGGAAUGAAGUAAUUUGGACUAAAAAUGGAUUUUCUAUUGAUUUAUCAAGUUCUAGUAAUUAUUUUCAUAUUCAAAACCUAUUUUCCAAUUUAUUUAUUCAGUUUUAAACUGCACUGGAUUGGGCUUCAAUAUCUGAGAACAGCAGGGGGCCUAGGGUAAAAGUCUCUAAGACACAGACCACCUUGCGCAAUGGACCGCAGGUUCAUUCACUAAAAGUCCGAGGGCUCUUUAACAAAAGUGAUCCACGAAGGAGUAUGGAGCGUUAAUGGUCGUCCGAUCAAAACUCAAUAGCGCAGACCGAAUGCGGCGAAGGGUUACGCGUCGUUCUAAUCUGAACCGUAUGUUACAGAUUCGAUGGUUACGACGCUCCUCUGAUCUCCACCGUCCAGCAGUCGAUCUAUGACUCUGGAGUCGUCCUCCUCCCCCGGUAUAGCUAGCUAGCGUCGCAGAGCACCGCGGUGGGGCUCUCCACCGGCGCAUGCACACGGCGCGCCCCGACGCUCCAGAACUUCCACCAGCGACGAGGAACGCCACCAGUUGUUCCCCCGCCACAGUUAGAAUCCCUACGGCUCCGACACAGCCCAUUGCUAUACACCGAGCGGCCCCAGGUUCUACCUCGGCCACGCACGAAAUGAAUACGAGGGGAGAGAAAGUGAGUUCGAGGCGAUGCCAUACCAAAGGUUUGCUCGACCACCAAGCUUCCGAUGAGCGCUCGCACACCACCCCUGUGGUCCUGCCCAACAGCCGAGAGAAGGUGCGAAGAAGCUCAGACGGUGGCGGUCGACCCGGACUCAGUCGCGCCGGUCUGGAUUUUGCUUAAGCUCUAGGGUUGCCGGCAACGCGAGGGUUGGGCAAGUCUGGUGAGAGGGGCAUGAGCGAGACCUUUCUUCCCCGUAUACCCAGGGUCCCCAGAGCGGGUCGUCGCGCGGGUCUGGUAAAUCCGGCCGGGUUGCAGAGUUAGUUGCACGGUAGCCGGACGUGGAUGGUUAGGGGGGAGAAGAAACACAAUGCCGCGGUUGACAGGUGGGGCUAGGUGACUAGGUCAGCCAACGAGCCCACGCGCGGAUGAAGCCACACGGGACGGCUAGCGCGGAAGAUGGGCCGAGGAUGCAGGAAUUCGGCCCAACUGCAAGUUUGCCUUUUUUUAUUUUUCUUUCAAAUUCCCUUUAUUUUAGAUUUAAAAAUUUAGAUUCUAAUUUGGUUGUGAGUUUCUCAUUUGGGAUAAUUGAACAACUUCAAGUCCAAGCAUAGGAAGAAUCUAGUUUUAUUUAUGUAUUUAUUUUCUGUAUAUAGUGUUUUUCUCCCUCUCUUUCCCCUUUUUCUCUGUUAUUUAAAUUCCUAGAAUUGCACAUUGGGCCUUAAAUCUCUAUCUGGAUAUUAUUGUAUUUUAUUUCUAUUGUUAUUAUUAUCCGUAGAUGCACAAAUACAAUAUAACCCAGCAUGAUGCACAAAUUAUCUUGAAUGUCACUAGUUAAUUAAUCACUUGAAAUAUAGUAGUUCACAUAUGUUAAUGGAUAGAGGCAAACAUAUAAAGGAUAAACAUCUCCUUUCUUAUAAUUUACAAUUUGGGUAUUACAUUAACAACUUGGGUUAAUGCUAAAAUCUGGCUCUAUACUAGUAAUAAUAACCUGACCAUCUAAAAGCAACUGCUUGACUUAACCCCACAUAAAGUUAGUCCACUACAGCCAAACGGGACAACUACUGAGUAUGUUGAUAUGUACUCACCCUUGCUUUACACACCAACCCCCCCAGGUUGUCCACGUUGCAACCACUGCUCAGGAGAAGAUGAAGUCGUUGAGGAGGACUUCCAGGAGUUCCAAGAGUACGAUGAGUUCUAGGCGUGGGUUAGCGGCAAACCCCCAGUCGGCUGCCUGUGAAGGCCGCGUUUAUCUACGUUUCUUUUCCACACUUUGAUUAUUGUUAAAGAAUAUGUGGAUGUCUCAGACAUUAUGGUAUAAUAAACUAUUACUAUCUUUUAUGUUAUUAUUCGAGCACUGUGUGAUGAUGUCCGGUUAUGUAACUGCUGUGUACGUGAAAAUUUCUGAUCCUGACACGUACAUGGU
rnacentral:lncRNA from 1 species